GAGCCCUCAGACUUCUUAAAGCUUUAAACUUUAUCUAUGACCAGUUUGGUGAGGCCAAAGGUGUUCGUGAGACAUGACACGACCGUGCACCUGGGCCGGGACAGGAAGACUUUGUGUUACUGCAAGUAAGAGACACCUUCAUAACCUUUCUCUGGUCGUGCUCCUUGACGAAUUCAGCCCGCCUCGUGGAUCAGUGGGUUGCUGAUCGCUUGCGCGAUGACAACACAGCCGCCCUACCUUAUACACACAGGCCAAAGAGAAAGUGGUAUGUGGUCAGUGAUGAUGACUCAAAGGGAAAGGGUGCUGUGGUUAACCCUUCCCUCGCUCACUUCCUGCCCAGAAAUGCGUCAGAUAUCCGCCCUAACAUGUCUGCCACCGACUUACUCUACUUAGAGGAAGCAGUAUGUGGCAUAAGAGAAGUGCAGAACUUCUAGUUCUGGAUGUUUGGGGUCAGUCUCAAGACUGGUUAAACUGGGAGAUUCUGUACCUAAUAAGGAUACCUUGAUGGCACAAGCAGUCUCUAGCAUGCAACAGGCUAUGCAGACUGCUUUUAAAGAGACCACUACAGUUUUGGCUAACCUAUUGACCUUCAGGAGACAAGCUGUGUUAAGGAAUCUCCCCUCUUCAUUCUUCAUUUCGGAUAAACAUAUCCUCAUGCAGUCACUAGUGGACUCCGCUUUCCUGUUUGAGGAUGACAAGGUGAACUAGGCUAGGAAGAAUGCUGAUGCCUUCUCUACCAAAUCCUUUCACGAAGUUGCCGCUGCAGCACUCAAGAAGAGGCCUCAGCAGGUUGAGUCACCUCUGGUCAGACCUCUGGCGACUAAACCCUCUACGUCUGGGUACAGGCAACCACGAAGGCAGGCCUAUCCUUUUAAGAAGCCAGAACGUCCUGUCUUGUCUUCUUAUCCACACAUGGACCAUAAUUCUUUGGCCCAAGGCAAGAAGGGUUUUCGAAAGUAGGAGGCUCUUCCCUUGACCUCUCAGGUAACGGCAUACCUUUCACAGAGUUGGGAAAAGUGGCUAGAGAAGGGAGCUGAACCAUGGAUAGUGGAUGUCCUCAGAGACGGUUACCACAUCCCCUUUGUCAGUCAACCUCUACUUUCAAGGUUCCCAAUACAAUUUGGGAGUUAUUCUCUCAACUCGGUGAAAGGCAAGGCUUUAGAACAGGAGAUACAAUCCCUUAUACAAAAAGGAGCGAUAGAACAGGCAACCGUUGGCCUAGGGUUCUACAGCAGAGUCUUCGUGGUGCCCAAACUUAUAGGUGGGUUUCGCCCCAUUAUUGAUCUCUCCACCCUCAACCAGUACAUCCGCAAAACCAGAUUCUGGAUGGAGACAAGUGCAUCGGUGAUGUCGGCCAUCCGAAAGGAGGACUGGAUGCUGUCAGUCGACCUGCGGGAUGCCUACCUCCAGAUUCCCAUCCAUCAGGGGAGCAGGAAGUACCUUCGAUUCACUUGGUGGGGCCAAGUUUUCCAGUUCAGAACUCUCUGCUUUGGACUGUCGACGGCACCUCAGGUCUUCAUGAGAGUGAUGGCUCUGGUUUCAGUGGAUUUACACCAACAAGGGAUUCGUUUGAUCCGCUACUUAGACGACUGGUUACUUCUCUCCACCACCAGUCAGGGAGCAAUGAGGUCAAGGGAGAUGCUCCUAGAUUUGUGCGACACUCUCAAUAUCUAGAUAAAUUGGGAGAAGUCAGAUCUCGAACCCAAACAGGUCAUAACCUUUUUAGGAAUGGACAUCCAUUCAACGAUUUUGAAGGUUUUCCCAGCACAAAGACGAAUUCUCAAUUUGCUGGAGUCUAUACGAGGUUUCAAGACUCAGCCACAGCCCUCAGCACAAGUAUGGCUAGUACUUCUUGGCCACCUCUCGUCGCUAUCCCACCUAGUUCCAGGAGGACGACGCAGGAUGAGGAGCCUCCAGUUUCAGCUUGCCAAUCACUGGGACAGGAGGGACAGCAGCUCCCAUCAGGUACGAGUACUUAUGUCUCGGGAGGUUCUAGACGACCUUCAGUGGUGGUCAGACCCUGCGAACUUGCUUCAAGGUCAGUCACUGGAGGUGUGGAACGCAGAACUACUUCUGUUCACGGAUGCUUCAUUAGAAGGCUGUGGAGCAUCUAUUCUGGAUGAUGAGGCAUGUGGCGUUUGGUCACCUCCCGAACAACAAGAGCACAUAACUCUCCUGGAACUGAGAGCGAUAUGUCUUGGGCUUCAGGCAUUCGAGGAUGUAUUGCAAGGACGAACGAUAGCAGUCGUGUCAGACAACACCACAGCAGUGUCGUACAUCAAGAAAGCAGGAGGGACACGGUCAGCCAAGCUCAACCACAAAGCCCAACUGACCUUGCAGUGGGCAGAGGACAAUGCAGUGACCCUUCUUACUCAGUUCGUGAGAGGGGAGAACAACGUGGUAGUGGAUUGCCUCAACAGGAGGAACCAGGUUAUUUCCACAGAGUGGAUGCUGCAUCAGCAGGUGUGCGACAACCUGUGGAGACUCUGGGGUUGUCCGAUGGUGGACCUGUUCGUCACACAGAUGAAUUACAGGCUAGCCAAUUUCGUAUCACCAUUUCCUGACCCGAUGGCGAUAGCAACGGAUGCCUUUCUCUUUCCUUGGGAACACAAGGAACUGUAUGUGUUUCCCCCUUUCCAUGUCAUCAGGAAGGUGAUAAACAAGCUCCGCAGUUCAGAGGGAGUCAAGCUUACACUAGUGGCCCCAUUCUGGCCUCAGAGGGAAUGGUUUACGGAUCUAGUGGAACUCUCCAUCGACACGCCAAGGAAGCUCCCCAUCAGGAAGGACCUGCUACGUCAACCUCACUUCCACAGGUUUCACCACGAUCUCCACGUGCUGCAGCUAGUAGGGUGGAGACUAUCGAGCGUCUUCUCCGGUACAGAGGAUAUUCCAGGAGAGUGGCGAAGGCAGUGGCAAAGGCUAGACGACCUUCCACUACUUUGAAUUACCAACAUAAGUCGAAGAGGUUUUGGCAAUGGUGUCACAACACAGGCCGUUCAUUCUCCUGCCCCUCCAGCCAGAAGCUCGCAGACUUUCUCCUAUACUUACACGAGUCUUGUCACCUUUCUGUCUCAGCUAUUAAAGGCUAUAAAGCCAUGCUGAAUAGUGUUUUCUCCCUAAAAGGCUUCAACCUGACAGAGGACCCAGUUUUGAAGAACCUUAUUAAAUCCUUUGAAACACAAGUUCCAAAAAGGGUAGUAAGACCGCCACUAUGGAACCUGGAUGUAGUGCUAAAGGCACUGUCGCUGGCUCCCUUCGAACCUCUCAGAGCCUUUUCGUUCAGAGAUCUUACGAAGAAGACUCUUUUCCUUGUCUUGCUACCAUCGACUAAGAGGGUCGGUGAGUUACAAGCCUUGUCAUACAAGCUUACUCAGCAAGGCAAAGACAUCAUCCUGUCUUAUCUUCCAGAAUUUGUCGCAGAGACAGAAACAUCCAGCAAUCCUCUUCCUAGGGAAUUCAGGAUAAAAAAUUUGGCAGUGGCCGUGUGCCCUGAUGAUGAAGAACGCCUUCUGUGCCCAGUUCAGGCUCUGCUUAUCUUUAGGGAAAGGAUGGGGAACGUGGCAAGAAGACCUAGAAACCUCUUUGACCUGUUUGUCUCUCCUGCAGACAAAUUAAAACCACUUUCAAAGAAUGCUUUGGCCUAUCUCCUGAGAGAAACUAUUCUGCAGGCCCACCGCUCACUGCCCGAGAACCUACUGAUGCCUCUGAGAGUGAGAGCACAUGAUAUUUGAGGGAUUGCCACCUCCCUUAAUUUAUGGAGGAAUAAAUCAGUGGAGGCUGUUCUCAAUGCAGCUUCCUGGAGGACACCUUCCAUCUUUGCAAAACAUUAUCUUCACGACGCCGAGCGUUCAGAUGGAGACACCUUUUUUCUCGGCCCGAUAGUCGCAGCAGGUGGCAUUGUGAUAUGAGCACUAUCUUAAGGUGGCAUGCUAUGCCUCGCUAUGCUUCACCAGAGCUUUGUGGGGGAGAGCACACUGUCUUAGCCUUGCCUUGCUCCUCUUCCUUUGCUCCAAGUCUGGAUUGACAGGCCUACAUGAUCUUGAUGAGUAUGUGCAAGCACAGUUGCUGUUGGCUGCCCUCAACAUAACCACCCAUGUCUUGGUGGAAGGUGGCACAUUUGUAGCCAAGAUCUUCCGUGGCAAGGAUGUCACUCUCCUCUAU
rnacentral:misc_RNA from 1 species